CUCAGGUUGCGUCAGAUACGCUUGAGAACUCAGAGUUAACGGUUACACCUUUUAAUAACCUGGAAGUUUUGUCAAAUUCGAUGAAGAAUCUUGGAAAUUGAAAGCGUUCCUUGUGAGUGUCUGAAGCCCGGAAAAAUCCUUGUGUAGCGAUGGAGCAUCGUGCCCAGAAACCCCAAGAUCAUCCUCUCCAGAACUUGGAUGGCGAGCCCCAGCCCAGAGGACCGAGUGAACCAGUAGAUGGUGACCCUGUGAGACUUUGAAUGACCAUUUGACAGACACAUUGAAACGACUAAACAAACAAUAAAUGAACAUUUGACAGACACAACAAAAAGACUGGGUUAUUUUUUUUUCAAGCGCACAAUUUCUGUUUAUUUGUUAAUGUGGAUCCACAAUGUUCUCUAUAUUA